CAGGAAGUGACAACAUUUUGGAGGGAAAGCACCAGCACAAACAUCUAUUCCUCCCCCAAAAUCAAGUUCAAUUAGGACUUCGAAGUGCACCAAACACUGGUAUGCCGAUGGGUCUUUUGCACUGCAUGAUGAAAAUCCUUUACGAGGAAUCUGCCACAUCGUCACAUAGUGGGAGUGGAAUAUUUGUCUUACACCAGCCUAAAGAUUUAGACCUGGACAUGUGUGUGGACUAUUGCUUUGUUCCAAAACCUGAUGAGCUGCCCACGUACGUACACA